rnacentral:rRNA from 1 species
UGGCGGACGGGUGAGUAAUGUCUGGGAAACUGCCCGAUGGAGGGGGAUAACUACUGGAAACGGUAGCUAAUACCGCAUAACGUCGAAAGACCAAAGAGGGGGACCUUCGGGCCUCUUGCCAUCGGAUGUGCCCAGAUGGGAUUAGCUAGUAGGUGGGGUAACGGCUCACCUAGGCGACGAUCCCUAGCUGGUCUGAGAGGAUGACCAGCCACACUGGGACUGAGACACGGCCCAG